rnacentral:rRNA from 1 species
UACGAAGGGUGCAAGCGUUACUCGGAAUUACUGGGCGUAAAGCGUGCGUAGGUGGUUUGUUAAGUCUGCUGUGAAAGCCCCGGGCUCAACCCUGGGAAUGGCAGUGGAUACUGGCAAGCUAGAGUGCGGUAGAGGGUAGUGGAAUUCCCGGUGUAGCGGUGAAAUGACGUAGAGAUCGGGAGGAACACCAGUGGCGAAGGCGGCUACCUGGACCAGCACUGACACUCAGGCACGAAAGCGUGGGGGAGC